rnacentral:rRNA from 1 species
AGAGUUUGAUCCUGGCUCAGAACGAACGCUGGCGGCAGGCCUAACACAUGCAAGUCGAACGGAUCCUUCGGGAUUAGUGGCAGACGGGUGAGUAACGCGUGGGAAGCUACCUUGUGGUAGGGAACAACAGUUGGAAACGACUGCUAAUACCCUAUGAGCCCUAUGGGGGAAAGAUUUAUCGCCAUGAGAUGUGCCCGCGUUUGAUUAGCUAGUUGGUAAGGUAAUGGCUUACCAAGGCGACGAUCUAUAGCUGGUCUGAGAGGAUGAUCAGCCACACUGGGACUGAGACACGGCCCAGACUCCUACGGGAGGCGGCAGUGGGGAAUAUUGGACAAUGGGGGCAACCCUGAUCCAGCCACGCCGCGUGUGUGAUGACGGCCUUAGGGUUGUAAAGCACUUUCAGCAGUGAAGAUAAUGACAUUAAUUGCAGAAGAAGCCCCGGCUAACUUCGUGCCAGCCGCCGCGGUAAUACAAGCCGAAUUCC